CCUACGGGUGGCUGCAGUGGGGAAUAUUGGACAAUGGGCGAAAGCCUGAUCCAGCCAUGCCGCGUGUGUGAAGAAGGCCUUCGGGUUGUAAAGCACUUUCAGUGGGGAAGAAAGCCUUGGGGCUAAUACCCUCGAGGAAGGACAUCACCCACAGAAGAAGCACCGGCUAACUCGGUGCCAGCAGCCGCGGUAAUACGGAGGGUGCGAGCGUUAAUCGGAAUUACUGGGCGUAAAGCGCGCGUAGGCGGUCUGAUAAGCCGGUUGUGAAAGCCCCGGGCUCAACCUGGGAACGGCAUCCGGAACUGUCAGGCUAGAGUGCAGGAGAGGAAGGUAGAAUUCCCGGUGUAGCGGUGAAAUGCGUAGAGAUCGGGAGGAAUACCAGUGGCGAAGGCGGCCUUCUGGACUGACACUGACGCUGAGGUGCGAAAGCGUGGGUAGCAAACAGGAUUAGAUACCCGGGUAGUC
rnacentral:rRNA from 1 species